AUACCUUUCUCGGCUUUUUGGCUAAGAUCAUGUAUAGUAUCUGUUUUUAUCAGUUUAAUAUCUGAUAUGCCCACUAGAUAUUAAUUCUAUUUUCUUAGGGAGAAAAUCCAUUAAGAUAGCUUGCUAUCUGGGUUUUCACUAGUCGUCCAUGCGUUGCACUAUUGCAUGGGCUUGGCUAAGCCCAC
rnacentral:snRNA from 3 species